rnacentral:rRNA from 1 species
AUGCUGAUGGCUGAAGAUCCGCCAAAUAAUGUGAAGGUGCGACAGGCCGGCAGCGGGUUUCGCAGGCUGUGGGAUGUGGAGUUGGUGAUCAAGGAUGGCCACAUGUACUUGUCUCGUGGGUGGGAGAAGUUCUACCGUGCCUACGACCUGCGGCUGGGGUACUUCCUUCUCUUCACGUACGACGACGACGCCACCAUGCUCAUCGUGAAGGUGUUCAACGCGAGUAUGUGUCGCAUGCGCUACGCUGAAGAUUAUGAUGCUGGUACGUUCUGCCUCUUCUUAUUCCUCUACAUUUGGCUUUGUCUCACAUCGAUUGUUAACAGUCAUUGUUGCAUUUGGACAGGUAAUGGGAGCAGCAGCAGCGACAAUGGCUACAGCCAAAGCAGCAGCGACCAUGGCUGUAGCGAUAGCAGCAGCGACCAUGGCUGUAGCGAAAGCAACAUCGAUUCUGGCUGUAGCGAAAGAAGCAACGAUUCUGGCAGCAGCAUAGACAACAAGAAGGAUGAUCCGGACUGGAGUGCGGGAGAAGAUGAGCAGAGUCGGGAUGAGGAGCUGCAGGAUGACGAUGGGCAUCAGGCUGAGGAUGACCUAGCGCUGGUGGUGGCUGACCAAGGGCAAGAGAUGGUGGUGGUGGCUGACCAUGGCAAGAGAUGGUGGUGGCUGACCAUGGGCAAGAGAUGGAGGUGGCUGAGGAUGACCUAG